rnacentral:rRNA from 1 species
UAACAGAGGGGGGCAAGCGUUGUUCGGAAUUACUGGGCGUAAAGGGCGCGUAGGCGGCCUGUUAAGUCGAACGUGAAAUCCCCUGGGCUCAACCCAGGAACUGCGUCCGAUACUGGCAGGCUUGAAUUCGGGAGAGGGAUGCGGAAUUCCAAGGUGUAGCGGUGAAAUGCGUAGAUAUCUGGAGGAACACCGGUGGCGAAGGCGGCAUCUUGGACCGGUAUUGACGCUGAGGCGCGAAAGCCAGGGGAGCAAAGCGGG